AGAUUAAACAUAAGAGUUUGAUCCUGGCUCAGAUUGAACGCUGGCGGCAUGCUUUACACAUGCAAGUCGAACGGCAGCACGGAGAGCUUGCUCUCUGGUGGCGAGUGGCGAACGGGUGAGUAAUGCAUCGGAACGUACCGAGUAAUGGGGGAUAACUGUCCGAAAGGAUGGCUAAUACCGCAUACGCCCUGAGGGGGAAAGCGGGGGAUCUUAGGACCUCGCGUUAUUUGAGCGGCCGAUGUUGGAUUAGCUAGUUGGUGGGGUAAAGGCCUACCAAGGCGACGAUCCAUAGCGGGUCUGAGAGGAUGAUCCGCCACAUUGGGACUGAGACACGGCCCAAACUCCUACGGGAGGCAGCAGUGGGGAAUUUUGGACAAUGGGGGGAACCCUGAUCCAGCCAUGCCGCGUGUCUGAAGAAGGCCUUCGGGUUGUAAAGGACUUUUGUUAGGGAAGAAAAGCUGGGUGUUAAUACCAUCUAGUGCUGACGGUACCUAAAGAAUAAGCACCGGCUAACUACGUGCCAGCAGCCGCGGUAAUACGUAGGGUGCGAGCGUUAAUCGGAAUUACUGGGCGUAAAGCGAGCGCAGACGGU
rnacentral:rRNA from 1 species